CCAUCCCUUCGCCGCCGCCCUCCACUUCAGGAGACGGAGCCGAUCGCGUUGAGGAUCCGCCACCCUCGCACGACAGAGCCGCCGCUCUUGAGAACGCCACACCAGAUCCCUUCGCUGUCGCCCUCGCACAUCAAACCCACCGCCUCCCUUGCGAGGACGCCCGAUCAUGGGUCUCCAUCGGCGCCAGGACGGCCGCGGCCUCCCGACCGCCGACGCUCCAGAUCCGCCUGUCGUUGACCCCCUCUACAUUAGUGAUCGGUCAAGGCAGGGGGCGUGGCGAUAUCCAUCUUUCCGCAUGUACGGCGGCCGGUGCCCGCGUCCGUGUAUCCUGCGCCAAGGGUGUCGUAUUCAUCUCAAGGAGGUCCUCUCAGUCCUUCCCGGCGACGAUGCCGAGCCGGGAUUCCUCCUCCCGCAGAUCCAUUGAUCCAUGGUCAGAUCUCAAGGAGGAGGGGCGUGCAGCGAUUGCCACCGUCGGUGCCUGCACGGGAAGGUCUCUGGCGCCUGCUCCAACCAGAUCCAGCCGGACUGCCAUCCCAUUGCGAUAUGUGUGCCGCUCCUGUUGUGCAUUUGCUGGUUAAGCUGCUGCUUGUGCAAAAUAUGCCUACUGCUACCUGGGCUCACAUGACCCAGAGAAAGGAGCUGCGCAAGGAAUCACUGCCAGAAGAUUCAAUACGAGUUUGAAGAGUCUUGGACUCUAGGCCAAUUUCGGCAAGGAAGCAGCAAUGCGAGCUAGCCGAGGGUUCAGACUGAUGUGCGCUUUGAUUCUCGCUGAUUUAUGAUUUGACCAAACCAAGCUGCUUUGGUUAUGACGAAGGAGAACCCGCUGUUCCUAGAGGCCUGACGCGUGGUCGAUCACAAGUCCUCCAAAGGGUGGAGCUGUUUCAGGUAGGGUACACUUGAUGUUUCAAGUUUGGUGAAAGAAAAAGAGCUUCCUAUGUUGAUUUCGGAACAAUAUGACACGAUGCACAUCGGUCCGCUUUACUGGCAAUCUAUCUACCUAGAUGGAGGGGAGGCACUCGUGUGGAGCUGCUCAAUGUUCGAGGAGAUACGGCUGAUUAAGCAAGGUUAUUUUAAAGUUCUUUGUGGUUCAUGUUAGCUAGCUAUCAGUAAUAGUACAAUCUUGAUUUUUAUGUCGUUCAGGUUUACCUAACCAUCAGUAACAUUACUUUCUAUUGGAGACUUCUUACAGGAGGUGCUUAUAAAAUGAUAGUUCAACAGGUACAGAUUUUGGAUUGCGGUUAUCUAUUUAGCAGGGCAUCAGUUAACUCAAGGCAUCACUUACCAGCAUUCUUUGUUGUGUGCAGCAAGGGGAAGACAGAGAUUGUCUGAUAUAUGCGAUAACGCAAUAUAAUUUUCUCUUGCAUAUUUAUAAUCUGCUAUUUGAAUGAUGUUUUCUGUGUUGUAGUCCAAUCAAGACAAUUUGCAACUUUGGUGUUGUGACGUUGUAGGCCGUGCUCAACAGCAAUGGGGGACUGUCGUUGAUGCCUGACCCAUGAUGCCGGCGAAGGAACGGGACUCGACGAGGGGUGGACGCCAUGGGUUCGUGAACUGGCCAAGCCUCCGUUGUUCGUUUGGUAAUGUCCGACGCAUCAGAGGCAUAGUAUGACAUGCUCUGAUUUUGACAUCGUCUACCAACAUCCGACGAAGGAGAAUCCGUCCCGGUUUCCAUCUUGAUGGUAAGUUCUUUAAUCUUCUAUCUCAUGGGAUGUGAUGUGGUUGUCUUCAUUUUGGCUUUUGACAAAGGAUUGAAAUUAGCUUAUGUGCUUCCGAAGUGAUAUUAUCAACCUUCAGCGCCACCACACUCAAAUGGCGUAGGAUAGACUGAUGUUUCAUGUGAUGUGCUUUAAGCCAUGUUUCAGCUUGUGUCGACACAACAUGUAUUUUUAGUUUCAGUUGUUGAGCUCUGCACUACAAGACCGAGAAAGACCCAUGGCUUUUUACAGACUACAAAUAGAGGGAAAUUGGCUUGUGCCUUACUAGAGACAGAUGAACCAAUAAAAUGAUUGAAAAGGCUCUUUCCAAGCAUAUGGGUGGUACACCUCCUUUAUUCUGAGAAAUAAAACUUAUGGUUAUAUGAUAUCAUCUAAGGUGAAACGUUGAAAGGGCUCUUGGAUUGUAUGCCUCGCUCAGGUUGGUGCGGUCUUAUAUUUCAAGAAAUAAAAUCUUGUGGUUAUAUGCUAUCAGUUAAUGUGAACCCGUGAAAGGCCGCUUGAAUUGUAUGCCUCGCUCAGGUAAUGAAUCCUUUGUGCAGAGAGCUCUUCUUGAUGCCCCCAUAAGUAAUGAAUUUGCUACACAGCAAAAAAAAGUAGCUAUUUGUUUUAUGGGACCCUGCUUGCUUAUUGUAUUAAAAUGACGAUAUGGCUUUGUUUAUGCGGAAUAUCAUCCAGGUAUUUAAAGGUCGUCCAAGUACACAUUUAGAAUCUGUUAGGGGGGGGGGGUGCGCACUUCUCUAGUAUGGCCAGGUAUUCAAAAGGCACCACUUUACUUACAGUUCUUCGAGCUUUGUAGGCCUCAACAGAAGUCCCUUGGCCAAGCUUCAUUGUAAUGCCUAACUAACUAUUUAACAAACAACUUUGUCAACUAAUAAAAGCAACACUGCAGGUAAAUAAAUUCAUUUUCACAUGUUAUGGUAAGCUGGCUUCUUCCAGCUCCCCAAAAAACUGAGUACUAAUAUACAGAGAAGGUUUAUAAUUAUUAAGGCUACUUCACAAAUUAUUUUGGGAACGGACUAAACAUAUCAGGAUAUACACCAUCAUCUACUAAUACUCUACUAAAUGAAUUAUCAAUUCACUUCUCUAGUAUUUAAAUUAUACAUGUCAUGGAAUGACUAACAGUACUUGUUCUUCUCUCAAAGCUGUCAACAAAAUACAGCCAGUAGAGAAGUUAGAAGGAUUUUGAGCUCUAAAGUCCAGGUAUCAAUCCACUUGACUGCACCGAUCUCUGGCCAUUUAAUUCAUGAAUCAACGGAUUUAUCUAUAAGAGAGUAAUUGUCUGUAAGAUAGAACUUGCUUGCAUGCAUUUCAUAGAUAAUAAAUCUGUAAAGAGAAGUUAGGAGGUAACAUACAUAUCUGAAUAUUUACACUUCAUAUACAGACCCAAUACAUCUUCAAUUCAGAGGUAGGAUAGAAGACUGUUUGGUCAGAUCUCCAUAGCUGCAAAAAUCUUCAAUAAUUUGUGAACUCCGUCAGACAGUAAUAUUAAAAAUUCCUUGUUUUAUUGAUAUAUUCACAUCUAGAUAAAGGAGGUACAUGUCCACAGGGGAGGAAAAGCAGCCAUCAAUUGUGCUAAAGUGGCCUCAGUCCAAAGACACUCUCUAAAGUAAAAUUUAGAGCACAAACUGAUGAAGUCUCUUUGAAGUAAAUUCUAAAAUACAUAAAAUGGCAUGGGAAGUGUGGAGCCCUUCCAUCUUAUUUAGAUGAUCUUCAGAAGAGUAGUGUUUUUGUCCUCUUGUGGAUAUUUAAAUUACAAUUACCCUAAAAAGUGAAGUUAACUCGUGAAUAUGUGCUUUAAGCAGAUCCAACUUCAUUAGUUUUGAAAAUAAAACAAUUCUCUUCAAUGAUAUAACUUUAUACUUCAUAUUUGUUCAGACAUUGUCAAUUCAAUUUUUUGGUACGCGAUACAGCUAAAAAAGUGGUAGUUGACAAAUGAAUGCCCAUCGGAUGGUACCACUUUGAUACAGUGCAUCCAGCCUUGUAGGCCUAAAAAAAUGCCCCUUCGCCAAGCUUCACUGUGAUGCCUAACUAACUACUCCCUCCGUUCCAUAUUUGUUAAUUGAUAAACUGAUUUCUUCCAGCUGCCCAAAAAACAGAGUACCAAUACACAUGAAGGCUGUUUAGUUGUUAAGGCAACUUUACAAAUCAUUUUGGGAAUGGACUAAACACAUAUACACCAGUUGAAUGCGAAGAAAAGAAAUCAUUUAUCUACUAAUACUCCACUAAAUGAACUCCAACAAUUCGCAUCUCUAGUAUUGUAUUAUACAUGUCAAAGAAUGACAAACAGUACUUAUUCCUCCCUCGAAGUUGUCAAGGAAAUACAACCAGUAGAGAACCUGGAAGGAUAGUGAGCUCUAAACUUCAGAUAUCUAAGGGGGUAAUUGCAGAUAAGAUAGGACUUGCUUGGAUGCAUUUCAUAGAUAAUAAAUCUGUAAAGAGUGGUUAGGAGGUAAUCCCUUUGUAAACUAAUAUAAGACCGUUUAAAUCACAACUUUAGUGAUCUAAAGUAGUAGUCUAAACGGUCCUAUAUUAGUUUACAAAAGGGGUAACAUACAUAUCUGAACAUUUACACUUCUUAUCUUCAAUUCAGAGAUAAGACCGAAUAGUCUCUGGUCAGAUUUCCAUAGCCGCAAAAAGCUUCAAUAAUCUGUGAACUAUGUAAGACAGUAAUAUUAGAAACCCCUUAUUCUAUUGAUGUAUUCACAUCAAAAGAAAGGAGAUACAUGUCAACAGGGGAAAAAAACCAACCAUCAGUUGUGCUAAUGUUACCACUCCAGAGUGGCCUUAGUCCAAAGACACCACCUGGAUUAAAUUUUAGAACACAAUAAGUUUCAGUUAACUGGUGAACGCUCUCUGAAGUGCAAUUUAAAACAUAUAAAAUGGCACGGGAAGUGUGGAGCCCGUCCAGCUGACUGAGAUCAUCUCGAGAAGAGUGGUGUUUUUGCCCUCUUAUGGAGAUUUGAAAGAGCAAUUACCCCAAAAAAGUGCAGUUAACUGAUGAAUACAUGUUGUAAGCAGGCCCAAGUUCAUUAGUUUUGAAAAUCAAAAAAUUCCCUUUCAUAAUAUAAUUUUAUACUUCAUAUUUGUUCAGACAUUGCAAAUUUAUUUUUUGGUAUGAAGUAGAACUAAAAAGAACUGUUGAUACAUCAUUACAUGUAUGCAUGAUAUUAUAAAGCAUCGAUAGAUUUUUUUAUUUAUUGAAAUGCUCCCUCUUGUGAAUUUAGUAGCAGUUUAGUACGAAGUCCUGGAUCGCUAGCUGAUGGUGAUGAAACACACGCUAUUACUAUUGAGCUGCCCAGACAGAAGCAGUCCCGCUUCAGAUACAGUCACACUAUGUAUGGGACACUUGAGAGAGAGAGAGAGAGAGAGAGAGAGAGAGAGAGGGAGGGAGGGCUUCAGCACAGCAGUGGAACGGGGGUAGGGAUGUAGAAAUACCAGACAAAGCGGCAGGGAUACGUCAGUUUGUACGGCGAAAACGACGGAACGAACGCCGCGCGAAAUAUCCGGACGGCGCAACCGCACCGCCUCGACCGAUUAGCUUUGCCUGUCACGUCACCGCCAUCGCUGCAUGGAUCAGCGCACAAAUCUUGUCGCUUUACUCCUGGAAGCAAACGCAACUCUCGCAGGCAGUUCCGAUUGGUGGACCGCGUCGUUCGACCGAUCCCGAUGCAUGGCACCGCCCGACAUGCAUCUGGAACCAAGAGCCAGUCAACUGUGCAGCCCAGAUUCAUCACAUAGCUACGGCCGACACCUUUUGUCGCCUGACAGCUGCAAUCAAGUGCAAUCAAAUGGCCAAUUCCAAUUGGUCCGCUUGCUACCACGCGGCCUCACCCAAUUAGUCUGCAUGCAUGCAACAACUCGAUUAAUCAGCUAAUCCAUCUCUUCUUUUUGCCUUGAAUUUUCUACAAUUUAUGUUCAUGAGUAUUUUAUAUUAGUUUGAUUGAUCUGGUGUCCCGCGUCCCGUUAACAGCCUUUCUUGUUAUUAUUUGUGACCACUCUGAUAUUAACUAAUAACUUGACCAUUACGGGCAAACCUAACAGUGGUUGUGCUUUGCAAGCCUGAUGAACUAUCUGUAGUCUGCAUGCAUGCAACAACUCGAUUAAUCAGCUAAUCCAUCUCUUCUUUUUGCCUUGAAUUUUCUACAGUUUAUAUUCAUGAGUAUUUUAUAGUAGUUUGAUUGAUCUAGUGUCCCACGUCCCAUUAACAGCUCUUUCUUGUUAUUACCUGUGACCACUCUGAUAUUAACUAAUAACUUGACCAUUAUGGACAAACCUAACAGUGGUUGUGCUUUGCAAACGUGAUGAACUAUCUGUUUCAAACAUAUGCUAGAAUGGACAGUGACACACGCUAAAAAAACAACCACGUCAGAAGAACCGAAAGCGAUAGCACAUGAGAAAGAAACCACAUUCAAACAGCCAAAAGGGACAGCACGUAGGCACACACAAACACACACGAACAGAUUGAGCCAAACACAACCAAAAAACGCUAAAUCAACCAAACCAAAUGCCACACCCGUUCAAAAAAUUUCAAUGAAAUAAAUGAAUCCACGAGGCGUUUGUACACCACCACAUCCCAAAUUAAUACCACGUGCCAUGUAUAGGUUUACCGUAAGGUCUUUUUCAGCCAAGUGGGUGAAUCUUGAGGCAAAAACCUUCUCUGGAAUAGAUGCUUGGGUAUUAGAUUAGGGACAACUAAAUUCUUUAUCUUCGAAUAUUCUUUUCAUUUCCGUGCAUAUCUAAGGGAGAAGUAAAUAGAAAGCACUUACAUAGGUUCCAUUGAUUUAUGUGCAUGUCAAUGGUUCCAUUGUUUCCCACCUCUUUUGGGAAGCAGUCUGUCAAAUUGCUCCACAUAAAAUCCCUUCAUUAAAAAAACAGAUUUGUUUAAUAUAAGUGAGAAUAUCUUCAGAUUAAAUAUAACAGCUGCAAGAGCUCAUUUCAAAAACUAUGUACAAUAAAAACAUAGAAUGAAUAAGCAUACAUGUAGGUUACUAUUGUACAAAAACUAUAAGAUAGAACAUCUUCAGAUUAAAGAUUACAUAUUACAGCUGCAAAAACUAUGGUAAAAAAACUAUAAUAGCUGCAAAAACUAUGUUUAAUAUAAUAUAGAAUAUCUUCAGAUUAAAUAUUGCACAUAAAAAACUAUAACAGCUGCAGGAGCUCUUAUAUCAGAUCUGCUCAUUUAAAAAAAUAUGAUAACCAGAGUCAUAGAAUGAAUAAACAUAUGUGUAGAUACAAUGAAUAGAUUAUUUAGAAGUACUGUGCUACUGAUUACGCAAUUCUAACACAUGAAGUGCAUCAUUGUAAAUAAGAUACUAGCUAUCUUCAGGCUGGAAAUGCAAGCAGUCAAACAUUAACAACAGUAUUUCUAAAAAAUGAAAACAAUCUUGCAAUCUUGAUAUAAGAAUUCUAUCUUCAGCAGCAUCACCGAUUUUGCUAUUUCAUCUCAUGUUGAAAUCAACAAUAGUUAUAAAAACAGGAGUACAAUCAGUCUACAAUCUUGAUAUAAGAAUCCUAAGUACUCCAAAUAAGAGUAUAUAAACAGGAGUAUGCAAAGAGUAUGUAAACAGUGAGCAAGUAUGCAAGCAGUGCAUAUUAUAUAAAUAGGAGUACAAUCUUUUCCUAUAGGAGUACAAUCUUGACUUGUAGGAGUACACAGAAACAUCCAUUUUUAAUCACUACUUUUUCAACAUAACAGAGGUCUACAAAAGCUUUUUAAGAUACAAUGGAGGUCUACAAAAGCUUUAUUUUCAGAUACCACUAAUAAGUAGCCACAAUGCUUUAUUUUUCAGAUACCACUAACCUUGGAUUUUUAAUUAUGAGCACGAGAGCACAGGUAAUUACAUAAAAAAACAAUUGAGCAUAUCUAUCCCAUCAAUAGCAACAACAUAUUCGAACAUCGACAGCAACAGAGUACUUGAACAUGAACAUCAUUUGAUCUAUCUGUGCUUGCAAAAUGAUGAAUUACUGUUGUAUACACGCAUUGCAAAUUCUUCCACAACAAUCUGUAGUUGAACACCAACAACAUACUCCAACAUCAACACGCAUUGGAAAUGGUGAAUUACAGAAACAGAGUUCAGAACACAACUGUCAGAAAGGUACUUGUACAAGUAUACCUGUUAUCUGUACUUGCAGCUCCGCCCGAUGAAGCCCUGCCACCACCAGCUAAUGCAGCCCAGGACGGCUGGAAGAAGUCCAUCGGGCAGAACUGCCGCACCAGCAGUAGGAGAGCUGCCCAUCUCCCUGGACCGCUCCAGGAAGCAGCUGGAAGAACUCUGCCGGGCAGCACUCGUCCUCCUCCUCCUCGUCCAUGGGGGGAAGCCCCAGCAAUGAGCUGUUGUCGGGAGCGGAGUCUGGGGAAGGGAUCUGGCGAAGAGUACCGAGCUCACCGCGGCAACAGGCACGCUUGUCGCCGCCCUCAUCCCCAUGCCCUCUAGAUCGAGAUGGAAAGAAGUGAUUUUUGGUCCGGAGGAAAGAACAGGGGAGCUGCGCGGGGGAGAGCACCGGGAGGAGGCUCGGGGGAGCUGCAUGGCGCGGCGGCGUGGCCUGGCCGGCGAGCAGGCAGAGAGAAAAUGGAGAUGGAGCAGAGUGUGGUGUCGGAGGGGAUUCGAGGAGUGCAGGUUAUGUCGGACAAUUGUGGAGGGAGUUUUCAGAAAAAUGCCAUUGCGGCAAGUAUUUGGAACCGGAGGGAGUAUCAAACUCGCAAUGUAGUACUCCCUCAAACUAAUCUCUACGAAGCUUAUGUUGAAAGAUUGUCAUGUGUACUUAUCAAAUCACUGUCAUGUUGUGCUUGCUCAGUGA